GCGCCGGUGGUGUAUCGGUAACAUUGGGUCUUCCCACGAAAAAUAAAAAUUACGCAAUCCGUUACGUAAUUUGACGUGGCCUAGCACCGGGUUCGACUCCCGGCCGGCGCA